CUUUCUUCAUCUGGGGUUUUGAAAACAAAUCCUGAAGCCUCACGUGAGGGAGAUUAUUUCUGUUGGGUCACAGUAACCUUGUUGCUUGUACCUUCACAGUUUGUGACUUUCUCAGACCUCAUCACGGCGGGUGAGGACAGUUCCCUUCUGUUAAUAGAGCGAAUAGUGGGCAUGGGGUAGGGCACUGGUCGAGGAGGACAGCCCAGGACCUACACACAUCCACUGUUUCCUUUGGCAAAAUGAGGUUCCUGACCCCAGCAUGGGGAAUUAUUGGAAUCGUCAAAUGGGAGAGUUCAGAGCGUUGAAAGGACUUGCUCAAGGUGGGAGCUGGUGGUGCAAAAAGGGAGCAAUCCCAGUGCAACACCUUUCACAUAGUGCCUACCACGUACCCGCCCCAGGUCCCACACGGAGGUGCAGAGAGGCGGAGGAAACUGCACAGGAGGAAGGAGAAAAGGACCACUCUGAGAGAGGACAGGAGAGAGGAAGGCAGCCCCAGAAGCAAGAGCCUAUUCUUCUGACCCUAAACUGAGAUAUGCUGAGUAACUGCAAAAGGUAACUUGAGAACGGCUGCUCCUGGCUAUUAAGGUCAUAGUCCAGCAAACCCUUAACACGUGCCCCAAAAAAGACCUUAAGACCAACUUCCCAGGGAUUCCGGGACCACCUCACCACUUGCCCGAGAGGAGAACACCCAAACUGAACCCUCCAUCUCCAGGCACAUGUUAAACUACAUUUUCCAGCCCUCUUGCUUUGAGGCUGGCCAUGUCACUGAGUUCUGGCAAUGAAACGGGCACAGAAGUGAUUUUUGUCACUUUCAGGCCUGAUCCAUAAAAACCUCGAUCCGUCAUCCCCUUUUCCAUCAUCCCUAUCUGGAUGACCCAGGGCACCACGAAGCCAUGUGAUGAAGAUGGGGAGAGCUUGGUCCCUGAAUGAUUACAUGGAGCAGAGCACCCUUCACCCUGCCCGCUGCCACCUACACUGAACUAUGACUUGGAUGAAAUAAACCUUCCCUGUGUUAAUCCGGUGAGAGUUUAGCUUAUCCUGACUAACAGCACCAUGAAGGUCUGAAGCCAAGUCCAUCAAACUCUGAAGACCAUCCUCUCUCAUGAAGCCAUAUUGCCACACAAUAUAGCAGAAAUAUAAAAGUCAAACUAUAAAAUAUUAUCUAAUUCCGCAGCUCACCUCUUCCCUGCCAUACCUCUUCCACGACCAAGAACUAGAUUCCUAAAGAUUUUCAAGGAAAUUGGGAAAACGAAAACAAAAUCAAGCAAGUAAUCAACAAAUACUUGUUGACUGCAUACUGCCUGCUGAGCAUAGACAAAACUACUUCUGUUGUUACCACACGUCUGGAGAAAUCCUUUCAGUAU
rnacentral:lncRNA from 1 species